GCCAUUCCCCUCCACUGGUCCAAAACAGUCCAAAUCUGUGUUACCUUUAUAGGCCAACCUUAGCAUCCUAGAACAGCCCCCAAAGGACCCCCGGGUAAACCGGAACACCACCCACUCCCUCCCGACCCCCACAAGCCUUUUUCUUCUAAGAUUCUUCUUUUGUGGGAUGAAUGAUGCACAUGAUUGUGGUGCGUGCAUUUCCAUCCUCGACCCUGCAUCUCUAGGCCUGGACACAUAUGGCUCAGCCGCCGCUGGUGUUCCAGCCUGAGAGGGCCACUCACCUCUGCCUUCCCACCUCCCCUGCCCUUGGCUUUAAUCCUCUGAGGCUUACAGCAGCCACCCAACUGCUCUUUUUGCUUCAACUUCCUCCUCUUCCUCUCCUUCAACUAGAACAAAGAUAGAUGGUGCGGAUCACCAAGAAAGCAAAGGGAUAAAGCUGAUUUGGGUGUCCUGGGGAGCGGAACAGGGGCACUGGGAUUGGAUGGGCCAGUUGUGGUGGGUGCGGGGGAGUGGCAGGCAGGGUGUUGUGACGAUGAGAGGAGGCGGGUGGCCCACGACCCACCCAAGCGGGGCUGCAACCCGACCCCCACACCGCCGGUGAACUCUUUCCCUGUCUGCCUUGUUGGAUUUGUGCUUUGUGUCCCCUUCCCCAGUGGAGGCAGCACCUUCGAGUGCAUCUCCUUCCACCUACCUCUGUUCCAUUUACGACGUCACGGUAAUAUUAUGAUGUCACGCACGUUUUAUUUCCAUGAAGUAAGAUUCGAGGUUUCACAUGAAUAAUUCAUGAUCUCAUGGAUCAGAGAAGAAGAUGAAUGACAAAGAUCCGAGAUGGGUGAAUUCCUGACC